rnacentral:snRNA from 1 species
GGAUGUGAGGGCGAUCUGGCUGCGGCAUCUGUCACCCCAUUGAUCGCCAGGGUUGAUUCGGCUGAUAUGGCUGGCUAGGCAGGUGUCCCCUUCCUCCCUCAACGAUCCAUGUGCAUCCCUCCUGAAGCUGCGCGCUUGGUCGAAGAGGAUGACCACCCCCGAUAGAGGAGGACUGUUCCUUGGUCAAGGGUAUACGAGUAGCCGCGCUCCCCUGCUAGAACCUCCAAACAAGCUCUCAAGGUCCAUAAUCUUAUUUAAUCUUCAGAAUAACUUAUUUUAGAGAUGGUAAAUAUAGUAUUUGGAAGUCAGAGAACACCUCUGUGGAGAAAAUGACAC